UGAGGAAGUGCACGAGGUGGAUGCCUUGGCAAUCACAGGCGAUGAAGGACGUGGUAGGCUGCGAAAAACCUUGGCGAGCUGUCAGCGAGCGUAGAGUCAGGGGUGUCCGAAUGGGGGAACCCGGCGUGCGAUGAGUGCGUCACCAGUGUUUGAAUAAAUAGGAUACUGGAGCGAACCUGGGGAACUGAAACAUCUAAGUACCCGGAGGAAAAGAAAUCAAUUGAGAUUCCCUGAGUAGUGGCGAGCGGAAGGGGAGGAGCCUGUACGAGUUAGCGCGAUAGUGAGUAGAACGAUUUGGGAAAAUCGGCGAUAAGGGGUGAUAGUCCCGUAUACGGAAGCUAUUGAGUGGGACUGGGCGUACGACAAGUAGGGCGGGGCACGAGAAACCCUGUUUGAAGAUGGGGGGACCAUCCUCCAAGGCUAAAUACUAGUGAUUGACCGAUAGAGAACAAGUACCGUGAGGGAAAGGUGAAAAGAACCCCGGGAGGGGAGUGAAAUAGAAUCUGAAACCGCGUGCAUACAAACAGUAGGAGCCGAGAGGUGACUGCGUACCUUUUGUAUAAUGGGUCAGCGAGUUACAUUUGCUGGCGAGCUUAACCUGAUGGGUAGGCGUAGCGAAAGCGAGUUUUAAUAGAGCGUAAGUCUGUAGAUGUAGACCCGAAACCGGAUGAUCUAUCCAUGUCCAGGGUGAAGGUUGGGUAAAGCCAAUUGGAGGCCCGAACCCACUACUGUUGCAAAAGUAGGGGAUGAGGUGUGGAUAGGGGUGAAAGGCCAAACAAAUCCGGAGAUAGCUGGUUCUCCCCGAAAACUAUUGAGGUAGUGCCUUACGUGAUGAUUAUCUGGGGUAGAGCACUGUAAUGGUGGUGGGGGUCAUUGAGACUUACUGCGCCAUAGCAAACUCCGAAUACGGAUAAUUUAGCGUAGGAGACAGUCUCAGGGUGCUAACGUUCUGGGACGAGAGGGAAACAACCCGGACCGCCAGCUAAGGUCCCGAAUAGUGGUUAAGUGUGAAACGAGGUGGGAAGGCAGAGACAGCCAGGAGGUUGGCUUAGAAGCAGCCAUCCUUUGAAGAAAGCGUAAUAGCUCAC
rnacentral:rRNA from 1 species